UACAGAGGUCCCGAGCGUUGUUCGGAUUCACUGGGCGUAAAGAGUGCGUAGGCGGUUUUCUAAGUUUGGUGUGAAAUCUCCCGGCUUAACUGGGAGGGUGCGCCGAAGACUGGAAGGCUUGAGUAUGGGAGAGGUAAGCGGAAUUCCUGGUGUAGCGGUGAAAUGCGUAGAUAUCAGGAGGAACACCUGCGGUGUAGACGGCUUACUGGACCAUAACUGACGCUGAGGCACGAAAGCGUGGGUAGCAAACAGG
rnacentral:rRNA from 1 species